GAUGAACGCUGGCGGCGUGCCUAAUACAUGCAAGUCGAGCGAACGGACGAGAAGCUUGCUUCUCUGAUGUUAGCGGCGGACGGGUGAGUAACACGUGGAUAACCUACCUAUAAGACUGGUAUAACUUCGGGAAACCGGAGCUAAUACCGGAUAAUAUUUUGAACCGCAUGGUUCAAAAGUGAAAGACGGUCUUGCUGUCACUUAUAGAUUGAUCCGCGCUGCAUUAGCUAGUUGGUAAGGUAACGGCUUACCAAGGCAACGAUGCAUAGCCGACCUGAGAGGGUGAUCGGCCAAACUGGAAAUGAGACACGGUACAGACGCCUACGGGAGGAAGCAGAAGGGAAUAUUCCGCAAGGGGGGAAAGCAUGACGGAGCAACGCCGCGUGAGUGACGAAGGUCUUCGGAUCGUAAAACUCUGUUAUUAGGGAAGAACAGAUGUGUAAGUAACUGUGCACAGCUUGACGGUACCUAAUCAGAAAGGCACGGCUAACUACGUG
rnacentral:rRNA from 1 species